rnacentral:rRNA from 1 species
UUUUAAAAAAAAACACUGAGAACUACAUGUGGAGGUGUAAAAUGCCUAGAUAUAUGGGGGCAAAGCACACCAGUGGCGAAGGCGGCUGUCUGGUCUGCAACUUACUCUGAGGGCUCGAAAGCAUGGGUAGCGAACAGGAUUAGAUACCCUGGUAGUUCAUGCCGUAAACGAUGAUUACUAAGUGUUGGAGGGUUUCCGCCCUUCAGUGCUGCAGCUAACGCAUUAAGUAAUCCGCCUGGGGAGUACGACCGCAAGGUUGAAACUCAAAAGAAUUGACGGGGGCCCGCACAAGCGGUGGAGCAUGUGGUUUAAUUUGAAGGUACGCGAAGAACCUUACCAGGUCUUGACAUCUUUUGACAGUCUAAGAGAUUAGAGGUUCCCUUCGGGGACAGAAUGACAGGUGGUGCAUGGUUGUCGUCAGCUCGUGUCGUGAGAUGUUGGGUUAAGUCCCGCAACGUGCGCAACCCUUAUUUCUAGUUGCCAGCAUUAAGUUGGGCACUCUAGUGAGACUGCCGGUGACAAACCGGAGGAAGGUGGGGACGACGUCAAAUCAUCAUGCCCCUUAUGACCUGGGCUACACACGUGCUACAAUGGAUGGUACAACGAGUCGCGAGACCGCGAGGUUAAGCUAAUCUCUUAAAACCAUUCUCAGUUCGGACUGUAGGCUGCAACUCGCCUACACGAAGUCGGAAUCGCUAGUAAUCGCGGGAUCUAGCUAUUGUCCGCGGUGAAUACGUUCCCGGGCCUUGUACACACCGCCCGUCACACCAUGAGAGUUUUGUAAAAAA